GGGCGCAAGCCUGAUCCAGCCAUGCCGCGUGUGUGAAGAAGGCCUUAUGGUUGUAAAGCACUUUAAGCGAGGAGGAGGCUACUUUAGUUAAUACCUAGAGAUAGUGGACGUUACUCGCAGAAUAAGCACCGGCUAACUCUGUGCCAGCAGCCGCGGUAAUACGA
rnacentral:rRNA from 1 species